rnacentral:rRNA from 1 species
GCGUUGUCCGGAUUUACUGGGCGUAAAGAGCGCGCAGGCGGCUGGAUAAGUCGAAUGUGAAAGCCCCCGGCUUAACUGGGGAGGGUCAUUCGAUACUGUUCAACUUGAAGGCAGGAGAGGGAAGCAGAAUUCCCGGUGUAGUGGUGAAAUGCGUAGAUAUCGGGAGGAAUACCAGUGGCGAAGGCGGCUUCCUGGCCUGUUCUUGACGCUGAGGCGCGAAAGCUGG